rnacentral:rRNA from 1 species
UACGUGGGGGGCUAGCGUUGUCCGGAAUCAUUGGGCGUAAAGCGCGUGUAGGCGGUCCGGUAAGUCCGCUGUGAAAGUCGGGGGCUCAACCCUCGAAUGCCGGUGGAUACUGUCGGGCUAGAGUGCGGAAGAGGCGAGUGGAAUUCCUGGUGUAGCGGUGAAAUGCGCAGAUAUCAGGAGGAACACCAAUUGCGAAGGCAGCUCGCUGGGACGUAACUGACGCUGAGACGCGAAAGCGUGGGGAGCAAACAGG